GACGAACGCUGGCGGCGUGCUUAACACAUGCAAGUCGAACGGAAAGGCCCUGCUUGCAGGGUACUCGAGUGGCGAACGGGUGAGUAACACGUGGGUGAUCUGCCCUGCACUUCGGGUUAAGCCUGGGAAACUGGGUCUAAUACCGGAUAGGAGCCAUUUUUAGUGUGAUGGUUGGAAAGUUUUUUCGGUGUAGGAUGAGCUCGCGGCCUAUCAGCUUGUUGGUGGGGUAAUGGCCUACCAAGGCGGCGACGGGUAGCCGGCCUGUGAGGGUGGACGGCCACAUUGGGACUGAGAUACGGCCCAGACUCCUACGGGAGGCAGCAGUGGGGAAUAUUGCACAAUGGGCGCAAGCCUGAUGCAGCGACGCCGCGUGGGGGAUGACGGCCUUCGGGUUGUAAACUCCUUUCGCUAGGGACGAAGCUUUUUGUGACGGUACCUAGAUAAGAAGCACCGGCUAACUACGUG
rnacentral:rRNA from 1 species